UCCGGAGGGGGCAAUCGUUAUUCGGAAUUACUGGGCGUAAAGCGCACGUAGGCGGCAAUCCAAGUCAAAGGUGAAAGCCCUCGGCUCAACCGAGGAACUGCCUUUGAAACUGCAUUGCUUGAGUCCGGGAGGGGGGAGCGGAAUUCCCAGUGUAGCGGUGAAAUGCGUAGAUACUGGGAGGAACACCGGUGGCGAAGGCGGCUCCCUGGACCGGUACUGACGCUGAGGUGCGAAAGCGUGGGUAGAAAACAGG
rnacentral:rRNA from 1 species